UACGUAGGGUGCAAGCGUUAAUCGGAAUCACUGGGCGUAAAGCGUGCGUAGGCGGUUUCUUAAGUCUGUCGUGAAAGCCCUGGGCUCAACCUGGGAACGGCGAUGGAUACUGGGAAGCUAGAAUGUGAGAGAGGAUGGUGGAAUUCCCGGUGUAGCGGUGAAAUGCGUAGAGAUGUGGAGGAACACCGAUGGCGAAGGCAGCCUCCUGGGCCAGCACUGACGCUCAUGCACGAAAGCGUGGGGAGCAAACAGG
rnacentral:rRNA from 1 species